rnacentral:rRNA from 1 species
GACGAACGCUGGCGGCGUGCUUAACACAUGCAAGUCGAACGGAAAGGCCCUGCUUUUGUGGGGUGCUCGAGUGGCGAACGGGUGAGUAACACGUGAGUAACCUGCCCUUGACUUUGGGAUAACUUCAGGAAACUGGGGCUAAUACCGGAUAGGAGCUCCUGCUGCAUGGUGGGGGUUGGAAAGUUUCGGCGGUUGGGGAUGGACUCGCGGCUUAUCAGCUUGUUGGUGGGGUAGUGGCUUACCAAGGCUUUGACGGGUAGCCGGCCUGAGAGGGUGACCGGCCACAUUGGGACUGAGAUACGGCCCAGACUCCUACGGGAGGCAGCAGUGGGGAAUAUUGCACAAUGGGCGGAAGCCUGAUGCAGCAACGCCGCGUGCGGGAUGACGGCCUUCGGGUUGUAAACCGCUUUCGCCUGUGACGAAGCGUGAGUGACGGUAAUGGGUAAAGAAGCACCGGCUAACUACGUGCCAGCAGCCGCGGUGAUACGUAGGGUGCGAGCGUUGUCCGGAUUUAUUGGGCGUAAAGGGCUCGUAGGUGGUUGAUCGCGUCGGAAGUGUAAUCUUGGGGCUUAACCCUGAGCGUGCUUUCGAUACGGGUUGACUUGAGGAAGGUAGGGGAGAAUGGAAUUCUUGGUGGAGCGGUGGAAUGCGCAGAUAUCAGGAGGAACACCAGUGGCGAAGGCGGUUCUCUGGGCCUUUCCUGACGCUGAGGAGCGAAAGCGUGGGGAGCGAACAGGCUUAGAUACCCUGGUAGUCCACGCUGUAAACGGUGGGUACUAGGUGUGGGGUCCAUUCCACGGGUUCCGUGCCGUAGCUAACGCUUUAAGUACCCCGCCUGGGGAGUACGGCCGCAAGGCUAAAACUCAAAGGAAUUGACGGGGCCCCGCACAAGCGGCGGAGCAUGCGGAUUAAUUCGAUGCAACGCGUAGAACCUUACCUGGGUUUGACAUGGAUCGGGAGUGCUCAGAGAUGGGUGUGCCUCUUUUGGGGUCGGUUCACAGGUGGUGCAUGGCUGUCGUCAGCUCGUGUCGUGAGAUGUUGGGUUAAGUCCCGCAACGAGCGCAACCCUUGUUCACUGUUGCCAGCACGUUAUGGUGGGGACUCAGUGGAGACCGCCGGGGUCAACUCGGAGGAAGGUGGGGAUGACGUCAAGUCAUCAUGCCCCUUAUGUCCAGGGCUUCACGCAUGCUACAAUGGCUGGUACAGAGAGUGGCGAGCCUGUGAGGGUGAGCGAAUCUCGGAAAGCCGGUCUCAGUUCGGAUUGGGGUCUGCAACUCGACCUCAUGAAGUCGGAGUCGCUAGUAAUCGCAGAUCAGCAACGCUGCGGUGAAUACGCUCCCGGG